AAGUCGUAACAAGGUAACCGUAGGUGAACCUGCGGUUGGAUCAUUACUGAUUUCUGCCUAGGCUGGUUGAGUCUCUAGGGACUCCCAGCCGAAGCGAUAUACCACUUGUGCACCAUGAUGUCUUUUGGGUCUUGGAAGCUGCUCUAGAGUGGUGACCAUGACCCAGCGUUGUAAACCAAUUAAUUUUUUGUCUGAAAUUUCUAUUAAUAGAAACAACUUUUGACAACGGAUCUCUUGGCUCUC
rnacentral:misc_RNA from 1 species